GAUGAACGCUGGCGGCGUGCCUAAUACAUGCAAGUCGAGCGAACAGAUGAGGAGCUUGCUCCUCUGACGUUAGCGGCGGACGGGUGAGUAACACGUGGAUAACCUACCUAUAAGACUGGGAUAACUUCGGGAAACCGGAGCUAAUACCGGAUAAUAUAUUGAACCGCAUGGUUCAAUAGUGAAAGACGGUUUUGCUGUCACUUAUAGAUGGAUCCGCGCCGCAUUAGCUAGUUGGUAAGGUAACGGCUUACCAAGGCAACGAUGCGUAGCCGACCUGAGAGGGGGAUCGGCCACAAUGGAACUGAGACACGGUCCAGACUCCUACGGGAGGCAGCAGUAGGGAAUCUUCCGCAAUGGGCGAAAGCCUGACGGAGCAACGCCGCGUGAGUGAUGAAGGUCUUCGGAUCGUAAAACUCUGUUAUUAGGGAAGAACAAAUGUGUAAGUAACUAUGCACGUCUUGACGGUACCUAAUCAGAAAGCCACGGCUAACUACGUG
rnacentral:rRNA from 1 species